CAUAUUACUAGAACACAUUGGUAUUGAAGGAACUAGAUACUGUUCCGAAAUAUCACUUACUCGAACCGUCCUGACCGCGUAGCUCAGUUGGAAAAGCAUUGGGCUAGUAUUCCAAAGGUCGUAGGUUCGAAUCCCACCGUGGCCGGGCAUAUUUUUCAAGCUCGCCCGGUGUGGAUAUGCACUCAGAGUAACAUCGCAAACAUAUUAUUCACCUGAGUACACAACACCAACACAGAAAAAAAUCAUAUUACUAGAACACAUUGGUAUUGAAGGAACUAGAUACUGUUCCGAAAUAUCACUUACUCGAACCGUCCUGACCGCAUAGCUCAGUUGGAAGAGCAUUGGGCUAGUAUUCCAAAGGUCGUAGGUUCGAAUCCCACCGUGGCCGGGCAUAUUUUUCAAGCUUGCCCGGUGUGGAUAUGCACUCAGAGUAACAUCGCAAACAUAUUUUUUUCCUCUUUUCUAUGUGUGCAAACAAUUUAUUUGCACUUUUUUGUCUUUGCAAACAAUUUUUUUAAGAAUUUUUCAUCCCCCCCCCCUCCAAAAAAAUAAUGGUCCGUCCCUUA